rnacentral:lncRNA from 1 species
ACUCAGACUAACCUUGUGGUUUCAACGCGCACUCUGCUCUGUCCUGAAAUCUGGAACUCAUUACCUCAUCACCAAGAAACUGCACGAAAUCUCUCCCCCACCGCCCCAACACCCACUUGGGAAAGGAACGAGCAAACAUCCCUCUAAGAAAGAAACCUACACUUGAAUGAUUUAAAUUAAGGUGGAUGGAAGUUAUUUCCCUUUCUGGCGCUUGCCAGAUUUCAAGAAAAGCUGAAAAAUGGGAGCGGGGGAGGGAAGCAACAGACGGCUGGAGGGCAGCAGCAGAACAAGCGAGGGGCAGCAGCCGAGUUAAAGUGGGGGCCAUCCAUUUCGGGCAGAGGAGACAAAUGAAAGCCGACCCCGCUGGGAUCACGUAGGUUCGUGGCUGCAGCAAAAGUUGGGUUUCACAAAGUUGAAAAACAGCCGGUUUCUCAAACAAUUGUGAUUUGGAAGGUUUCGCUGGGUUUGCCCAGAUGUUUACGAAUAAAUAAGAAAUGCAGUUUUAAAAAAAA